GUCGUCCGGACCGAGCCACUGGACGUCCGGCAGCGGGGAGCCCUGAACUCGGCACAGAGCCCUGUACCCGGACUGCUCACUGCCCUCCACUGACAGAGCCAGGAUCUUCGGAGGAGCUGCAGCACAAACGAGAAGCUGCUCACCUCCUCCAGCAGACAACAGCAGACUCAGAGCUCUACAGACCAGAUGAACGUCCAUGAUGAGACGACUGAAGACACCAGUCUGUCUGUGUGUGUCUGUGUGUGUGUGUGUGUGUGUGACUCAGUACCUCCACACACAGCCCUGUGUCACUGUGUUUCUUCCCAUUUCCUCUAUGUAUAUGUAUUUUGUAUCACAAGGAAACAAUGUCAUAUCUCUCAACUCAGCUCAUCUCUGCACACGGUCAUUGUAGUGGUGAUGUAGGGACCAAUCAGCAGACGAGUUCGACAGUGGCUCAGAUCAACUAAGCUCAGGAAGUGAAUGAAAGACACAAUCAGGGAUUUGUUGGCUGAGGAACCAGAUUGAAUGGACUUGACCAUCAGGACCCGUCUCCACUUUGAACAUGUUUUAAUCCCACAGACCUUCAGGGAGAAGAAGGUCGUGUGACACAUGAGAGAAGGAACAUCUCUCAUUUGAUAUUAAUCUUCUCGUUAGUUUGGACUGAGGUCAGCAGCAGGUCAUGAGUCUGUGUUGACAUGAACAGGUGUAGGAAUGUUGUGUUGACAUGAUGAAGAUCCACAAGACUCAUUGAUCAGGAUUAUCAAUGAUGUGAUUCUUUGUUUUAUUCUUCAUCCAGGUUGAAGAGCUGCAGGUUGUCAGAGAUCAGCUGUUCUUCUCUGGCCUCAGCUCUGAAGUCCACAACCUCCCACCUGAGACGACUGGAGCUGAGAGACAACACGCUGAAGAACUCAGACCUGAAGGAGCUGCGUGAUCUUGUCCAGACAGUCGUGUGUUGAGUCUGGAUCCAGUGAGAUUCGUGCUAACUUCCGAGAGGGAGAAGAUGGACGUGCCGAGGAGGAGAGCAGGGGAGUGUGCAGGGAGACAGAUGGAGAUGUACCAGUUAGCCUUGAAAAAUGUCUGCUUCAAUGUGACAGAUGAAUUGUUAUGUGUUUUAAUUUCAAAUGAGCAGCAUGACGUACAGCUGCUGUCUUCCAUGGUAGGACAACAGCGGUGGAGGUUUUUCAAACCCUGUAAGUGAAGACGACAAUACAAUACAAAAGAACUACAUUACCAUUUUUAUCAUUUGUCUUAAUAUUAAUCAUAACUGCAUGGAGGCUCUGUCUGUCGCCAGGGCCGCAGCACCCAGACUUCCAUCGGCUGUGAGGAUGGUGAUUUUAUUAUGACAUCAUCUUUUCCUACAUUGUUCUACAACUAAUACUGUGGUGUGUAUCAAACGCAAGAAAAGUGUUUCCUUUCAUAUACAGUAUCCCCUUGCUGGCAGCAAAGUGACAGUUCUGAAGAAGGCCUUCCUGCGACUGAACCGAUCUCACAUGGCAAUUUUUGCCCUGUGUGUGUGUGUGUGUGUGUGUGUGUGUGUAGAGGAUGGGGGGUUUGCUAUAUUUUAAAGGGAGAGUUCGGUUUUUUAUGUAUGUUUAUUAAUACAUAACCCCUUUCAGGUAUUGAUUUCAUUAAUAAUUGUUUUCUCUUCAAGUGUGAUGGUGUUUAUGUAAUUUUGAAUAGCUUUGAAAACAAUGCAGUCCACAUGAGGAAAUAUUCACAUAUGUAAUUCAGCCUUUAGUACACUGGCAAUAUGUUUUUUGUGUAAUG